GACGAACGCUGGCGGCGUGCUUAACACAUGCAAGUCGAACGGAAAGGCCUCUUUCGGGGGGUACUCGAGUGACGAACGGGUGAGUAACACUUUAGUAACCUGCCCUUGACUUUGGGAUAACUUCAUGAAACUGGGGCUAAUACCGGAUAGGAGCUCCUGCUGCAGGGUGGGGGUUGGAAAGUUUCGGCGGUUGGGGAUGGACUCGCGGCUGAUCCGCUUGUUGGUGGGGUAGUGGCUUACCAAGGCCUUGACGGGUAGCCGGACUGAGAGGGUGACCGGCCACAGUGGGACUGAGAUAGGGACCAGACUCCUACGGGAGGCAGCAGUGGGGAAUAUUGCACAAUGGGUGGAGGCCUGAUGCAGCAACGCCGUGGGCGGGAUGACGGCCUUCGGGUUGGAAACCGCUUUCGCUCAUGACGAAGCUUUGUGUGACGGUAGUGGGUAAAGAAGCACCGGCUAACUACGUG
rnacentral:rRNA from 1 species